GAAGACUGCAUCUGGGUGGGUGUCACUGACCCAGCCCCGGCUUGUGAGAGUCUUUCCUUCAAACUGGAAUAAGCUCUGGGGGCCCACCCACGGCUACCAUUAUGAUGUCACGGGAAGGCGCAGCGGCAGGAGGAGGGGGGAAUAGAUUCAUGAGGUCAUCUAGCCCAAAGCCCUCUUUGCUAUUCCAUGCCACCAGGAUGGCAGAGGUUGGCACAUGUCUCUGGCAGCCAAGCCCUUGAAUACCCAAGGCCACACAGCGGCAAAGUCGGGGAUAAGCUCCCUGGGCUGAUGCCCAGCUGCUCAUCUGGGAAGUUCUACUGGGCUCUCACUUCUAAUCAGCAAACCCAGACUCCUCCUCACCUUAAGGACUAUCAGACCAAGCUUCUCUUGGGAUCCUUGAAGUCGGCUGAUAACCAAAGUGAAGUGAUGACUCAUGUCAUAUUUAAGCAAGACUCCGGGUGUGCGUGUGAGUGGGGAUUGCUCAAAAUCAUGUUGAGGUGCUGCUGAUUGCAUCAAAGCCUCUACCAGGGGGAGGGCGGGAGAGAGAAAAGGGAGCUGUGGAUUUUGAUACGAAAAGGGAGCAACCACCUGAGAAACUUUAGAGAGAAGGAUGCUCUGCGGUCAUGGUUGGUUUUGUUUUCAUAGCCUUGGGAGCAAACUCUGUUUUCAAAGUCCUUCAGGGACAGAAAGUAAGAGAGACUUAUGCAAUGACCAAAUAAAGUUCCCAAAGUCAACAUGGAUCAGUGAGGACCAGAGAGGAAGAAGAGCCAAUAAGGUGGCCCGGUCCCUGCCGCUUCCCCUGCUUGGCGGGGGUUAGCACAUUGUCAACUGCCUGCUCGACCCUGAUCAGAAAACCCCCAAAGGGUGACCAUGUGGCCAAUCUGUUAGAAGAGUCUUUGGGAUCUCACCCAUGCAAUUUUGUCCACUCCAGCCCACAGCUGGAUUUACUUCUUUCUGCUUCAAAAUCACCAUGCCCCUUGUAACAAAAGCCAGAGUCAAACAGCGUAGUUUGUAACCUGGUUCCCUUCUGCAUUGGGGGAGAGGUAUGCAAGAUGUGGGGAGUGGGCCAAACGUGGUCCCACGUCUCUCUUCUACCUCAAACAGAGAUGAAUUAUAUGGUAACUUCACGCUGUUGGCGAUGGGAGCACCCCCCUCCUCCUCGAGAGCAAACUUUCCCCAAUUUUUCAGGAAAAGAUACACUGUGGCAGAUUAGAAUUUGGUCUAAGGGGCAAGGUAUUUGAUGUCACCCCUGGCCAAAGCCUAGCCCCCGAUUCCAUCUGAUACCCCGAAAGCCUCACACAUGCAGCCUCUUAGAGACUCUUACAGGCAGAUUAGGAACAAUCUGAUGGACAUGCUCUAGGGCCACGUGAAGGAGGUCAAAGAUAAAGCCUGCUGAAAAGCCCAUGUCUCCAGAAGCUCCAGGCCAAAGAGAGGUACUAAGACUUUGUUUCCAUGGAGCAGAGCUGGGAGGGACAGCUCUGGGACAAAGAACACAAAUACUGGACUUGAAAUAAAAUUCUGGGUUCAAAGCCCAGCUCUCCCAUGCAUUGUGUGACCUUGGGCAAAUCCUGUCACUGAAGUUUUCUCAUAGUGAAAUGGAAGUAAUCCCUCCAUUAAAAAUGGUUAGAAGGACCAUAUGGCAUGUUUGAGUGUCGUAAAGGCUAUGCAAGGGUGGGCCUCAAAUAUGAGAUACCAAACGGCGGUGCCCGUGUUCACGUCACAAACUGUUGGCCAUGACACCUGGGUGGCUGUGAAUGUUGGGUUUAAUCAGAAGAUCUUCUCUUUUCUGAGAGCAAAAGAAAAUUUCACACUUAUUGAAUUUAUACAUUUCUAACCCGGGACAUUGGAAGCAACGCUGGAAGGAGAAAUCGUAUCCCAGAGUGACAGCGGAGGUUUCCCUGGGAUGUGUUUUGUGCUGUUUGAGCACAGGCAGCAGGAGGUGAUUUUUUUCCCCCAGCAUCAGGAACUCCUCUGCGCAGAAAAGCUGAGGGACACCGAGCAAGCCUCUCACGGGGACACUUGGGUGUUUAGUGAACAGCAACUAAAACUGGCUGCGUUGGUGCAAAGUGUGUGCCGAUCACACGUUUAAGGACUCAGAGGACAUCAAGGCACGAGAUCACUCGAGCGAGCAGGCGACUGAGAUGACACCGGCUGAUGGGGGGGGGGGGUGAACAGCACAGUGGGAGGCCUCCUGCUUUUUCUGCCUUGGUGGGGGGAGGCGAGGUUAUUAAUGAUGGGAUGGAUUAGAACAGAUGGGUAUUUUUGACACAUUUCCCCAUGUUGUUAUUUUCCAAUAUCCCAUCUUCCCACCACCUAGUCAUGUGCCUUUCUCUUGGUUAAGAGUGAAAGCAUGUGACUUUUUAAAGGGAAACCUCAGGAAGGGAGAGUAGAAAUGAAGACGUGACCGUAUUGCUCAGAAGGCACACUCCGCAGAUCUGGAAAGUCCUCCCAAAGCCUCUGCUGGGAGGCGACAGGGAGAAGCCACCGCAGGCACGUGUGACUUUGGACACUGUGUUCUAAGGCAAGCCCUGCGACCCAUCCCACUGGCUCAGUCCCAACCUCGGAGCAUCCACCACUCGCUUCCUGAUUACCUUUCUGCAGCCCAGAGAUUUGCAUUGUAAAUGCUGUUUGUUAGGCCCCUGAAAUAAUAUUAAUCACUGUAAAACAAUUAUGUUGCAUAAUUUGUACAUAAAAAAGAAAGAAUGAA